GCAUCUAACCUGCGAUGCCUAAGGGCCCUCACCCAGCAUUAGCUGUCUGAAAGCUGGGCUGCCCCAGAUCCAAACUGAUAGUCUGUCUUCCUUCACUUGACAGUCAGGACACAACAGGCAUUUUCAGAGGGUAGUUGAGCCCCUCCUGAAAUGGGUGGGAAAAUUGUCUCCUGCAGUUGCCCGUUUUAUCUCUGACUGUAAAGGGAGCCUAAAGUGGUGACAUGAACUAGAAGCCUGAUUUUUGGUGGCUUGGUUACCUGAGGUGAGUGUUACUCCAGUCUGCCUCAUUGUUCCUUCACUUCUGCUCAAAAGAGAGGAAAGACAGUGCCUUUCUGAGGGUUAGUCAGUUCAGCUGAGAUCUGAAUCUGCCCUUGGGAAGUGCUGUUUUUCCUUUGACUAUUAGAAAUGGACAGCUCAGAGAGAGUGUUAGGAUGGAACCAGGUUGUCUUCCUACAGUCUUAUUCUGGAGAAGAAGAGAGCACUUGUUUCAGAGCCCCAGAGCUCUGCCGGUUCACUGGGUAUCAAUCUCUCCCAAAUAAGGAAGACUGUAAGCGUUACCAUCUAUGGGACACAAAUGCCUUAUCAAAAGGCUUUUGACUUACCAAGCUGUUUUCUUCAUGAAGUGAAAAUAUAUGCUAUAUUGAUUAGGAAAUAGUCUACUGUGACAUCUGAACACAGACACUCUUGGCUGGAGACUUAACAAAGUGGGCUGCUUUUAUUCUGAAAACUAAAUGUAAUAAUAUCUUGUCAGUUGCCAACAUAUUUCUCCAUAGAAGUGGCCUUGCUUAUGUUAGUCCUAGUCACAUUAACACAAGUUAGAAGUAUGUGCCACCAUCUUCUGAUGUACAAAUGAAUGCGUUCAUGUCAUUCAGUCGUCCUAAAAGGUUGGGCAAUAAGAUUGAGCUGCUGUGCUAGGCCUGUUCUUCCUCAGCUGGUCCAGCUUUGGUCAGAAGCAUGCUCAUGGGAUGGACUCAUCAAUCUGGAGUAGAGAAACAUAAUGCUGUAACACAAGGUAUCAAGAGGCUGGUGGUUAAAACAGGAAACUCAUGUAAGCUUAUCAUUGACAGGGCACAGCAAUUUAUCGUCUUUCCUAAGUGAAAACCUUGCUCAAAACAGAGGAAUGGUCUGAAGUCCCAUGGCCAGGGAUGCUAAGGAUACACAAGUGUUCAGGAGUUGGUUUGAGGAUAUUGCUUCAGGCACAUCUUGAAUACAAAAUACCAUGAAGUUCAUAUUUAUCAGUGAUCGAAGAAACAGAGAGAAAUAAGUUGUUUGGGAGGAGAGUACUUCAACCAACACUGAAUGAAAUUAUGCAGAACUCCUGAUAUUAAUCAACAAUCUGGUGGCCAUCAACACCUUGCCGAUAAACUGGAAAUCUUCACCUUCUUCCAUCCUCACCUCUCAAAUGACACAUGGAAGGGACUUGGAGAUCAAAGUAAUCCUCUUCCAUCCUUAUCCUUCGGAGAGAGAGACUGAUGGGAUUUAGCACCCAUGUGGGAGUAUGA